CGAACACUCUUCUGACUGUAGCACAGGAUUAUACACAGGGAAUAACUGACAGCACCUCGGUGUACAGCACUUCACAUGUUGUUGUGGACAACACGCAUUUUGUCAGAUGCAUGUUUGUGUGCACUGGCCUACAUGGUGGUUUGCCCCAAUUCAAACAAAUUGUUGACGAGAAUGAUGUUUCCAAUCAAACUCUGUUUAUAUGCAAAAGCUGCCAGUCUUGGUACAUAGAGCACCUGCACUCCUAUGAGGUGACAACAAGAGUCAUAUGUUGUAACAACACCAUCAGAUCUCCAUGACUUCAUGCUUCUAACUGCAUACAGACUGAAUGAACAACUUGUCCUUACUACUAAGCACUUCAUACUUUGAGCAGGUAGAAAAGUCAUCUUUGUUCCCCUGUCCUACAGCGAUAAGGCUGACAAGUCUGAACUCCUCCUGACUGAGAGUCCACUUAGGAGACGGAGGCAUUGAACGGGUGACACUCCCCUGUCGUCCAGAUUCUGUCCCUCAACUAACUACUUUACUGCGUGAAAAAUGUGAAAUUCCAUACAGUGUCCUGAUUUUGGUGGCCAGCUAUGCAAUCUGAGCAGUAUUCAUGAACUACAAAACAUGGGAACUGUCAAAUUGAUCAGAGUAAUGGACUUGGACUGUAGCUCAACUUCCAGCUCUGCAGGGACAAGUGACAGUGGAGAGACCUACAGCUGCCUAACACCCCGAAGGGUAAGUGCAUGGCCAGACGUGUUUGUGGUGCCCAACUUUCCACAUGACAUAGAAUUUGCUCUCAGGGAAGGCAAUGAAGCUAAAUAGCUGCAUGGGAAAUGCCUUACUUUAAACGGAAGAUUUUUGAGGGCAUGGCUGGAGCAAUAUCUGAAUACAAGGCAUACCCUUGCAGCAAUGAGAUCAAAAGUGCUGCUGAAGCAUUAGUUCAGAAACAUCGAUGCCUGAAAUAGUCUGGCUCCAAAAGUGGCUGUGAUGGAUGGAGAGACAGCUUGGUGUUCAAACAGAUGCAAACUCAGCAAGUCAGUGUGUCCAGAAGUGAAAGGUAACAGUGGCAAGAGAAGUAUAAGUAGCCCAGAUGGUGACUCGCCACAUUCAAAGAUAAAGCGGUGAAACUGAAGAAAGUCUAGAGAGGUUGAAGAUUGUCCUUGUGGAGGAGUUGGAGGAAAUGGUCCAAGACAAGUUUGACUUAUCAUUGGUCAACAGCAGCAUGUGUAGGACCUUUGCAUUGAGACGUAAAGAGAUUGUUACCUUAACCCCCACCAUAGAGCGUAUCCAAGACAGAUGGCCGGCACUUUUCCUGAAGGAACAAGUAUGUGGGUGGGGGAUGGGGGACGUAAAGCAGUUUUCAAUUGCCUUUGUACUUUAGGUAUGUGCAGAAUGCCAUCGCAUCACAAACCAGCAACUCCGGGAUUCGUUUUAUUCCAUGUUGGACAAACACACAGAACACUUGCUAGCCCUAUCCAGAGAAAGCAGGGAAAGACUGGAAGAAAUGGACAGAAGAUAGCUUCCAUUCUGAAUUUGUACAGCCAGCAACCAUGUGAUGUGAACACCAAUCGAGCUGUUGUCCUCAGAUGUCUUCCAGCAAUACUCCAAGAGGAUGACUCUGGAGUGUUCAUAACAUGCACGGAGGGAACGUCUCAAGACCCUGCAGCCAUCAAGAGACCAGCAGCCAUCAACUUAGUCAUUGAUUACGAUGGAGAUGUAGCUGCUGUGCCAUUCCAUCUAGGAAGAGUCUACGUGGUCCUUCAGGAAAAGGUGGUUAUGAAGGAUUUCCGGUGCUGGCCUGAUGCACUUGUAUGUUUGUAUGGGCUAAUGUACAGUACUCACUCCAACAUGGAUACACAAAUGGCAUGAAGAACAUAUUUGGGUUCAUACAAAAAGUGUUGUUAAACUUGGAUAGAGACAGAAUGAAGCCAAAGGUCCUUGCUUUGAAAAACCAACGCAAAAAUGUAUGGUGCUAAACAAUUGUAAAUAGUUACGUUCUCCUAUAAGGAAAAGAGAUUAGGGAUAAAAAAAAACGACUAAAGACGACUAAAUGUUUUGUAGGCAAAUACCAACUAAAAUGUCUCCAUGCAUUUGAUUUGAUCUGUGCCUUUCGUCAAACCAGUCACAAAAAUGAGAAAGUCAUGCAAAACUAUUGGCCUUUAAUCUAUUGAGUCUUAACAUGUACAGAGAUACAGGAGUAACUUGACUUCAGUUUGUGUAGAGUUUAAUUGAAAGUGUUAAUGUUUGGGAAAACUGAACAUUGGCAUUGUGAAGUUACCUUACAAAUCAGCGAUGAAGUUCUAGGCCUAAAUCCUAAAUAUAGGAGGCUUUAGAGGCAUUGGCCACAAAUCUCACAUUGCUGACUUCAUCAUCAAAAAUGUGUGAGGUCCCAGAGGAUGAAAAUAGAUAGGGAAUCUUCAUGGAGUUGUAAGGAGAGGUCUUUUGCAUACCUGUGUAGUGUUGUGGACCGGUACAUAUAAGAAAGUUGGAGAAACAACGUUCGCACACACUUUCUACUUGCAUUUAGAACGUUUAUUUGUCUGUUUAAUGAUUCGGCCCUACACCUUAGACAGGAAUUAAGGUUUAGGACCGAAGCAUUGCGUGCAUAAGUACAUUUUAUAAUCUGCAAGUAUAACUUUGUUUUGUAAACAUAAUGGAGUGAAAAUUGUCGUGGUCGAAAUGUUUUUAAAUUGUCAACAUUAAUCGGCAUUGUAAGGAACAGUUAAAUGUAGUCAAGUUGUUAGACUGUGAAAUGGAUGUCGGCACAUCACUACCUCAUUAUUUUGAUUUUAUAUCCUUCAGCACAGCUUUUAAUUGAAUGGAAGCUACCACAUCAGUUGAAAGUGUUAAUUGGGGAAGGGUCAUUAUACUGUGCUUAUGUUUUAAUAGUUAAGUUGUUGAUGGGGAAUGUUGCAAUGUUACACAGUAUUGAAUUGAUUUAAAGUUGGGGUUUUGUUAUCUGGGCCUUUUAAAAGUUUUGCAUAUGUUCAAAUGAGUCAUACUGUACAGAAUUGGCAUUCAUCUAUUGAUGGAGGCUAAAAUAGAUUAAUCAUGUUUUGUGCAUUCAUGUAAUUAGAGAUUUGCGAUUCUGAAGAUGCAGCGUUUUAAAGAAAAUGUAAUUUUAUUUUUAAGAAAAAACGAUUGCAAUGCUAACUUGCUUUAGAAUAGUUGACUGACAGAAAGAACUUAAGGAUUUUAAGAAUAGUUUUUUACUUUGAAUUUUGAAGUGCAGCUGGUUUCCACAAAUUAUUUGAGUUACGUAACAAAAUAUGUCAAGUUACACAGGACUAAAAUGUGAUACAAUUUUUUUUACUGAUUUAUGUUUAAUUUACUCAAAAGUUGUAUGCAAACUUGAACAUGUUGAUUUGGUACUUGUUGAAUGCCCUCCAAAGAAGAGAGUAACUAAAGUCAUUAAUUACAGUGAUACAACAUGAA